rnacentral:tRNA from 1 species
ACUUAUGUAGUAUAUCCAGUACUUGAUCUUUUCGCGAUCAAAGUAAAAUCAUUUUUCUUAAGUU